GUGAGAUAUGAGAUAAGCUAGAAACUCAAUGUUCAGCCCAUUGUAUCAUGAAGAGGUGCAACAGUAACCAAUCGGGGUGUCUGUUAUCCCACUACACAUACUAAACCAGAAAAUAAUAUUCAUAGAAGUGGUUUUAAAUAUAGCUUGACACACGGGAAUUGAGGAAACCGCAGAACUAGAAAGUAGAUCCAUUCCACCCGAAGUUUGAACCCUUUGUAUCGUAGAACUUGAGAAAAAAGCGCGACUUGGGAAUGUUCAACUUGGCCUCCAGAAUUGA
rnacentral:misc_RNA from 1 species